UUACGGACAUAUCACAUUGAAAAACUGGCUCCUAUAGAAUCAGUGAAGUUAAGCCACGUUGAGCCUGACAGUACCUAGAUGGGUGACCGCUUGGGAAUACCAGGUACUGUAAG
rnacentral:rRNA from 1 species